UACGGGAGGCAGCAGUGGGGAAUAUUGCACAAUGGGCGAAAGCCUGAUGCAGCUAUGCCGCGUGUAUGAAGAAGGCCUUAGGGUUGUAAAGUACUUUCAUCGGGGAGGAAAAAACAAAACUAAUAAUUUUAUUUCUUGACGUUACCCGAAAAAGAAGCACCGGCUAACUCCGUGCCAGCAGCCGCGGUAAUACGGAGGGUGCUAGCGUUAAUCAGAAUUACUGGGCGUAAAGAGCACGUAGGUGGUUUUUUUAAAGUCAGAUGUGAAAUCCCCUGGGCUUAACCUAGGAACUGCAUUUUGAAACUGAAAUACUAGAGUAUCGUAGAGGGAGGUAGAAUUCUAGGUGUAGCGGUGAAAUGCGUAGAUAUCUGGAGGAAUACCUGUGGCGAAAGCGGCCUCCUAAACGAAUACUGACACUGAGGGUGCGAAAGCGUGGGGAGCAAACAGGGAUUAGAUACC
rnacentral:rRNA from 1 species